CCUACGGGAGGCAGCAGUGAGGAAUAUUGGUCAAUGGACGCAAGCCUGAACCAGCCAUGCCGCGUGCAGGAUGACGGCUCUAUGAGUUGUAAACCGCUUUUGUACGAGGGUAAACCCCGAUACGUGUAUCGGGUUGAAAUUAUCGUACGAAUAAGGAUCGGCUAACUCCGUGCCAGCAGCCGCGGUAAUACGGAGGAUCCGAGCGUUAUCCGGAUUUAUUGGGUUUAAAGGGUGCGUAGGCGGUUUGAUAAGUUAGAGGUGAAAUGUCGGGGCUCAACCCCGAAACUGCCUCUAAUACUGUUGGACUAGAGAAUAGUUGCGGUAGGCGGAAUGUAUGGUGUAGCGGUGAAAUGCUUAGAGAUCAUACAGAACCCCGAUUGCGAAGGCAGCUUACCAAACUAUAUCUGACGUUGAGGCACGAAAGCGUGGGUAGCAAACAGGAUUAGAUACCCGUGUAGUC
rnacentral:rRNA from 1 species